GAUGAACGCUAGCGGCAGGCCUAAUACAUGCAAGACGAACGGUAAGUUGAGUAGCAAUACUUAGCCAAGAGUGUCGUACGGGUACGUAACACGUAUGCAACCUACCCUAUACAGGAGGAUAGCCUAGGGAAACCUGGAUUAACCCUUCAUAGUAUUAUUGGAUGGCAUCAUUUGAUAAUUAAAACUGAGGUGGUAUAGGAUGGGCAUGCGUCUGAUUAGUUAGUUGGCGGGGUAAUGGCCCACCAAGACGAUGAUCAGUAGGGGUUCUGAGAGGAAGAUCCCCCACACUGGCACUGAGAUACGGGCCAGACUCCUACGGGAGGCAGCAGUAGGGAAUAUUGGUCAAUGGAUGCAAGUCUGAACCAGCCAUGCCGCGUGCAGGAAGAAAGGGCCCUUUCUGGGGUUGUAAAACUGCUUUUUGCCCAAGGGGAUAAAAUUUCCAUGCGUGGAAAACUGAAGGUACCUGGUGAAUAAGCCCAGGCUAAACUACGUGACCAGCAGCCGCGGU
rnacentral:rRNA from 1 species